rnacentral:rRNA from 1 species
GAUGAACGCUGGCGGCGUGCCUAAUACAUGCAAGUCGAGCGAACGGACGAGAAGCUUGCUUCUCUGAUGUUAGCGGCGGACGGGUGAGUAACACGUGGAUAACCUACCUAUAAGACUGGGAUAACUUCGGGAAACCGGAGCUAAUACCGGAUAAUAUUUUGAACCGCAUGGUUCAAAAGUGAAAGACGGUCUUGCUGUCACUUAUAGAUGGAUCCGCGCUGCAUUAGCUAGUUGGUAAGGUAACGGCUUACCAAGGCAACGAUGCAUAGCCGACCUGAGAGAGUGAUCGGCCACACUGGAACUGAGACACGGUCCAGACUCCUACGGGAGGCAGCAGUAGGGAAUCUUCCGCAAUGGGCGAAAGCCUGACGGAGCAACGCCGCGUGAGUGAUGAAGGUCUUCGGAUCGUAAAACUCUGUUAUUAGGGAAGAACAUAUGUGUAAGUAACUGUGCACAUCUUGACGGUACCUAAUCAGAAAGCCGCGGCUAACUACGUG